CGUAGGGUGCGAGCGUUAAUCGGAAUUACUGGGCGUAAAGCGUGCGCAGGCGGUUUUGUAAGACAGAUGUGAAAUCCCCGGGCUCAACCUGGGACCUGCAUUUGUGACUGCAAGGCUAGAGUACGGUAGAGGGGGAUGGAAUUCCGCGUGUAGCAGCGAAAUGCGUAGAUAUGCGGAGGAACACCGAUGGCGAAGGCAAUCCCCUGGACCUGUACUGACGCUCAUGCACGAAAGCGUGGGGAGCAAACAGGAUUAGAUACCCUGGUAGUCCACGCCCUAAACGAUGUCAACUGGUUGUUGGGUCUUUACUGACUCAGUAACGAAGCUAACGCGUGAAGUUGACCGCCUGGGGAGUACGGCCGCAAGGUUG
rnacentral:rRNA from 1 species